GCAUUUAGAAAAUGUAUGAUUCACUCAAUGAGGAAACUAAAAAAUACAAAACAAAAUAAUAAGAUGUAAACAAAAUGCAGAUCACAGCAAGAUCUUUGAUGGUGAAACAAGAAUCUGUCCAAAGUACAUGGAUGCCCCACUCGCACUAUCCUUUUCCAUGUUCCAUGGACCGUGAAAUUGGGUAAUUAUCUAAUUUGGCAUUAAAAUUAGAAAGAUCAUAUCAUAAGCAACCAGGUGCUCCGCAGGGCGCAGCUUUAUACGACCGCAGAGGUCGAACCCUAAACAGUUGGGGCAAGUAUGGACAAAACAUUCAAGCGUGAUACAGCUCUGAAUUUGGAUUGUGAUCAAAUUUUUGACAUUACAUGGUUUUUUUUACACAAAACAAAUGUCAAGAUUUUACAAAUCAAUACUCUAGUUCAGGGAAGCAAUGCGCAUGUGCAAGAUCGAUCGUGAUUUUGCGUUAUCGACUAAUUAGAUACGAGAUUUGAUAAACUGGGGGCAUUAUCAGUUUAUUGAUUUACCAAAUCGGCAUCGUUAUUACUGUAGUCAUAUGCAUAAUUUAUUUUCACAUGCUAUGGCAAACGAAAAUAUAUACAACAU
rnacentral:lncRNA from 1 species